rnacentral:sRNA from 1 species
CCCUAAACCCUAAACCCUAAACCCUAAACCCUAAACCCUAAACCCUAAACCCUAAAUCCAUAAAUCCCUAAAACCAUAAUCCUAAAUCCCUUAAUUCCUAAAUCCCUAAUACUUAGACCCUAAUCUUUAGUUCCUAGACCCUAAUCUUUAGUUCCUAGACCCUAAAUCCAUAAUCCUUAAUUCCUAAAUUCCUAAAUCCCUAAUACUAAAUCUCUAAAUCCCUAGCAAUUUUCAAGUUUUGCUUGAUUGUUGUAGGAUGGUCCUUUCUCUUGUUUCUUCUCUGUGUUGUUGAGAUUAGUUUGUUUAGGUUUGAUAGCGUUGAUUUUGGCCUGCGUUUGGUGACUCAUAUGGUUUGAUUGGAGUUUGUUUCUGGGUUUUAUGGUUUUGGUUGAAGCGACAUUUUUUUGUGGAAUAUGGUUUUUGCAAAAUAUUUUGUUCCGGAUGAGUAAUAUCUACGGUGCUGCUGUGAGAAUUAUGCUAUUGUUUUGCAGGUCCUGUUCUUAAUCUUUCAUCGCUUUUGUGCUUAUUGUCUCCUUGUCGUUUAUGUUGAGUGGUGUUUGGGCUUUAGUCAGGUUCAGUCCAACCGUUGCUCUUCCUCCCGUUCCUAGUCUCCUCGUCUCAACCUUUGAUUCAUAUUGGGUUUGUUUCCUUGCUAAGAAGAAGUUUCGUUUUAUUUGUUUGGAUCGAUCGACCUCUAAGUUUACAAGGCUUUCUUCUCCCUAAUGUUGUUGUUUGUUGUGGUUGUUAGCUGUCUCGGUUCUUCAUCAUUCUUGGUCUUGAGAUUGGUGAUUUUUUAGAGGUUAGACUUUUCUCCUUGUCUUUGGCCUUCCUGAUCUAUUUUGAUAGGAUCGCGUUUUGAAGGUUUCUAGUUUGACGCAAUUGGACGCAGCAGUCGUCAGUCGUCGUAUUCGGAAGUUUGCUCGAGGUUUCCUUAACUCAUUUGUCUUGCGUGCCGAGUUGUGAAGCCUUGGUUCUUGGUUUCUGAGAGAUCAGCUCUCAUCGUGAUAGGAGGAGGUAGAUGUUAUUUUUGGGUUGGCCACGGACAUCCUUAGUAAAUCUCAAUCGCGGGUGCUUCAGAAGAUUUGGUUUACUUGUGCUUUUGGUCUUUUGUUUCUUUUAAGAUUUAAGUAUGUUGCUUCUAUCUCAGUUUUGGGUUUCGACCUCUUGUGUUGGUGGUUUGAAAGCUUUUGUUUUGUAUUACUACUGUUUUUAGAUUCCCUUCUAUAGGGCUUAGCUUCCGGGAAAAUUUCGUCUUCUGCCGACUUUGACUCCGGAGACUUUCUUGUCGUCCGCCGACUUUAGUUUCUCUUUUUGAGGAUUUAUAUUUCACUUCGGUUCCAAUCCAAGAUCAAUAAUAUAAUUUUAA